rnacentral:lncRNA from 1 species
ACCUUCUCAACAUGGCGAGCUUGCUGGACGUCACGUCGCCUUCGCCUUUUCCGCUGCGGACUCUGCUCACCGACCUCCUCAGUAGAGCCGGCCCUGCUCACUACCGCGCCCACGUGUCCUGUUGUGCUUCAUUCCCACAGGCCGCAUAAGUGAUUUUGUAUAUCUGUACUGGGAGCUGGAGGGAGAGUGAAAUACGUAACCCUGAGAGUGAAAGUUAGAAAAAUCUACGUGAAUCACAGAGGCAUUUGCCAAGAUCGGCUCAGAGAAAAGAACAUCAUGGUGGCUCACUCCUGUAAUCCCAGUGCUUUGGGAGGCUGAGGCUGGAGGAUUGCUUGAGGCCAGGAGUUCGAGACCAGCUUGACAACAUAGCAAGACUCCGUCUCUACACAAAUGGCUAUAGCCCCAGCUACUUGGAAGGCCGAGGUGGGAGAAUCGCUUGAGCCCAGGAGGUUGAGGUUGCAGUGAGCCAUAACUGCACCACCGCACUCCAGCCUGAGCAGCAGAGUGAGACUCUGUCUCAAAAAAUAAAUAAAAAUUAAAAAAAGGACAUCAGGUUCAGCAAAGCCUAAAGGGAACAUACGAGGAGGGAAGAGUUUGUUGGCCUUAGCAUAGGUCGAGGGUUCUGUGGGAGGUCUAGUUCUGGCACAGCCUGCGCUGAGACAGGAAGCUCUCUCAGAUGCUGCCAUAAACACUAUGUAUGAGGAACAAAUGCUGGGCAUGUGAGCACAUGAGCCCUGACUUUGAAGCCAACCAUGGGGCAUGACUGCAAUGCUGGGGGGAGCCAGGCCAGCAAGGACCAGGGAAAUGGAGAUGUGUCCAUCUGACGCUAAGGCGGUUCUCUUAACAAUUAAAGCAACCAAGUAACUGUGCAAUUACAGGAAUAGAAAACCAAAUGCUGCAUAUUCUCAUUUAUAAGGGGGAACUAAAUGAUGAGAACACAUGGACACAGAGGGGAACAACACACAUUGGGGCCUUUUGGAGGGUGGAGGGAGGGAGGAGGGAGAGGAUCAUGAAAAAUAACUAAUGGGUACUAGGCUUAAUACCUGGGUGAUGAAAUAAUCUGUACAACAAACCCCCAUGACACAAGUUUACCUGUGUAACAAACCUGCACGUGUAUCCCUGA